AUCGACACUAAAAGCCCAAUAGAGUAACCCCGCUCUUAUUUGCACGAACUUUACUCAAAAUUUUCAUUUCCCUCUUCUUUGGCAGUCGUUCCCACUUCAACUGUUUCUAGAUCUAGGGUUAGGAACUCAAUCAGUUUCUUUCUUCCAGAUAUUUUUUCGCUAGCUCCUCCAAUGGAGUCACAACGGUAUCAACAAAUUGAGGGAUACAAUGUCGGUAAAUGGAAUGAAAUGAAGGGCCAUGGAAUCAGAGGUCCAAGGACUGGAGACACUACUAGGGAAUGCUGAGCUUUAGGCUACUAAUUUUGGUCUUUUAUAAUCCUGGAGGUGGUUGAAAAUUUGUAUUCAAAGGUCAAUAUAUUGUAGGACGAGGUAAAAUAUUUGCUAUAUACCCCCUAGUACCCAUCUUACUUUACUUGUUACAUAGGGUGAUGACUUCGUUAUAUUCUUAUUCUUGAUAUAGUAUUAUCUCUCUUUGGCUGACGUUUUUUGGUAAAAGUGAAAUAUUUUCACGGUCAACCUUCUUUAUUGUUGCAACUUUUGUUACGCCUUUCCCCUUGAAACUUUGUCUUUUGGAAAUCACUGACAGAGUAAUCAUUUUCUGCUUUUGCAUAUUGCUUUGGUGGCUUCUUUAACCAUGCAAAUAAUAUAGUUAUUUACUUAUUUUAUGUUCUAAUGUUUGUAACUACAUUCUGAAUUGAUUUGUCUCUUCCUUUACAGCUGGAAGGGGUUAAAACUGUUAAAGGAUAAAGAAUGACUUUCCCACAAAGAAGGAUGUUUUGGAUGAUCCUGACUUCGUAUUAGAAAUAUGCUUGGGGGCAAGAUGAACUUCAAGUAUUUCUUGGUGAUACUUAGAACAUGUCACUCUUAUAGCUUAGUUAUUCAAAUGAAAAAGGCAACUAAGACUUCAGCACUAACUAAUUAUACUCAUCUAGGAAGUAUAUGCUUUUGAAGUUCAAUUACUCCACUUAAGCGACAAAUGUUCAAAUUAAUUAUCUGCACAAAAAACCUCGUGAUAAGAAGCUAAUUUAACAAAUGUCCAUGAACCAUAUAUGUUUUUUGUUGUUGCAACAGUAUCAAAUAGCACGCUACCAUAGUAGUCACUUUUGUCUUUCACGAGUUUCACCACAAGAAGGAAGUAAAAGAAUUGAUGAGAGUAGUAAAAUUCAUCAUUGCAUAAUUCAAUUUAAAGAUCUGUAGAUAAAAGAAAAUGUCAUUAAUGAUUAUGUAUUAGUACAUUGCAAAAACAAUAAGUUGGAGUAUAUACCCAGAACAUUCAUCCAUUCUUGCCAAUUUAAUCAUCAGACCAUAUAUCUAGGAAGAGCAACAAGCAAACAUUUGAAUAGAGUCAAUCUAAUUCAACAAAGUGCCUAAGAAUAAAAUGGAGUAAUAUAUGUAGAUGUUCCUUUGAUCAGUCUUAGACUCUUAGGUUGUAUUUGGGUUCUUCUUUGCAACUGAUAUUUCUUGGAGUUGUUUGAUGUAUGAUUUUCCUUCUCUCUGCUGCUGUGGUUUUCUUUUGCAGAGAGGCUUCGGUUCCUCCAGUGUUGUAGGUGUUGGCUGCUUUUCUUUUGAUAGGUAUUACGCUAAUGUAGGGCUUUUUCUUCUAUUUCUAAAAGAUGGUAAAGUCAGUUGUUGGUUCAGUUUGGAUGAUUUGGUAUUUGUGUUUGGUGUUUUGGUUGAUCUGAUUGAUUAUCAGCUUUGGCCUUGGUUGCAGUUAUAACUGCACAGCCAUGCUGCAUCUGCAAUCUAUUCUAGCUCUGCUAAAUUUUAGUGUUGGCUGAUUGUGGCUGCAGCUCAUGUACUCUGUUUUUGUGGUUUAUUUUCUACAUUUUCGUAUUUCUGUAGUGAGGAUUUUGUUUCAGCAGACUCCUGGUUGCCUUUUCUGGAUUGGAUAUUGGCUAAGCUGCUAUAGUUUUGUCUUUUAUGUUGAUGGAAGACGGUGAAGAAUUUUGGGGACUGCAGGCCAUUUGAGAAGCGUUGCUAUUACUUAUCGUACAUUCUUUUGACGUGCAUAUAACUCGUUUGGCACACGGUGAAGUUGAGCUCAUCUUGGAAAGCACCUCAUGUUAUCGAUCUAUAUAUAUAGGACUUGUUGUAUCGUUAUCACAUUAGAGUAGUUAAAUAUUUAUAUAUCUUGUCCUUCGCAACUUAGAGAGAGUAUUUAGUUAAGUUUUUAGAUUGUUAGACAAUUUUCUAUCACCUAUGUAAUAACUUAUGACUUAUUCAAUAUGAGUUAUUUAUUUAUAAUAUUA